GAAUUUAAGAAAAGUUCGGCAGAGUUUCCCCUUGAAAAAGGGCUAAACUCCCUGCCAAAAUGUACCCAAAAUUAAACAAAUAAACUUCCUAACAAUUGUCAAAUCCAAUUCCCACACUCAGAAAGGAUAUUAGCAGUAAAGAAAUCAUUUCAUGCAUAUUAAGUGCAAACAAUUUUAAAUUAUAUCCAUUUGCAAGAAUGAACACUCAAACACUUGAGAAUAUCUCCAAUCCAAUUCAUAACACUCGUUAACACUUAAGUUAACGACAUAUGAGUCCCAAUUAAUCCAAAUACUAAUUAUUUCAAGUAAAAGUGGUUCAAUGUGCUUAACUUGAUCGGGAACACACACUUUUACCCAAUGGGCUAUUGCUCUAGCAUAUCAUUUUCAAUUGGUAUAACAGUGAUUUAUACCUCUCUGAACAAGUUCAUAUAUUCACAGAAAGCAAAAUUCACAAGUUUAAACCACUAACAUGCUCAAGCCCAAAAAUUGAGAAGGAAAUCUCAAAACUAUCACCAAAUCCAUAAUUCUCACACAAAUAAGCAU
rnacentral:lncRNA from 1 species